rnacentral:rRNA from 1 species
UGAAGGUGAAGUCGUAACAAGGUUUCCGUAGGUGAACCUGCGGAAGGAUCAUUACCGAGUGAGGGCCCUCUGGGUCCAACCUCCCACCCGUGUUUAUUUUACCUUGUUGCUUCGGCGGGCCCGCCUUAACUGGCCGCCGGGGGGCUUACGCCCCCGGGCCCGCGCCCGCCGAAGACACCCUCGAACUCUGUCUGAAGAUUGAAGUCUGAGUGAAAAUAUAAAUUAUUUAAAACUUUCAACAACGGAUCUCUUGGUUCCGGCAUCGAUGAAGAACGCAGCGAAAUGCGAUACGUAAUGUGAAUUGCAAAUUCAGUGAAUCAUCGAGUCUUUGAACGCACAUUGCGCCCCCUGGUAUUCCGGGGGGCAUGCCUGUCCGAGCGUCAUUGCUGCCCUCAAGCCCGGCUUGUGUGUUGGGCCCCGUCCCCCGAUCUCCGGGGGACGGGCCCGAAAGGCAGCGGCGGCACCGCGUCCGGUCCUCGAGCGUAUGGGGCUUUGUCACCCGCUCUGUAGGCCCGGCCGGCGCUUGCCGAUCAACCCAAAUUUUUAUCCAGGUUGACCUCGGAUCAGGUAGGGAUACCCGCUGAACUUAAGCAUAUCAAUAAGCGGAGGAA